rnacentral:rRNA from 1 species
UGGGGAAUAUUGCACAAUGGAGGGAACUCUGAUGCAGCGACGCCGCGUGAACGAAGAAGGCUUUCGAGUCGUAAAGUUCUUUUAUAUGGGAAGAUAAUGACGGUACCAUAAGAAAAAGCCCCGGCUAACUACGUGCCAGCAGCCGCGGUAAUACGUAGGGGGCUAGCGUUGUCCGGAAUCACUGGGCGUAAAGGGUUCGCAGGCGGAAAUGCAAGUCAGGUGUAAAAGGCAGUAGCUUAACUACUGUAAGCAUUUGAAACUGCAUAUCUUGAGAAGAGUAGAGGUAAGUGGAAUUUUUAGUGUAGCGGUGAAAUGCGUAGAUAUUAAAAAGAAUACCGGUGGCGAAGGCGACUUACUGGGCUCAUUCUGACGCUGAGGAACGAGAGCGUGGGUAGCAAACAGG